AGAGUUUGAUCAUGGCUCAGGAUGAACGCUAGCUACAGGCUUAACACAUGCAAGUCGAGGGGAAACGGCAUUGAGUGCUUGCACUCUUUGGACGUCGACCGGCGCACGGGUGAGUAACGCGUAUCCAACCUUCCCAUUACUGUGGGAUAACCUGCCGAAAGGCAGACUAAUACCGCAUAGUCUUCGAUGACGGCAUCAGAUAUGAAGUAAAGAUUUAUCGGUAAUGGAUGGGGGAUGCGUCUGAUUAGCUUGUUGGCGGGGUAACGGCCCACCAAGGCGACGAUCAGUAGGGGUUCUGAGAGGAAGGUCCCCCACAUUGGAACUGAGACACGGUCCAAACUCCUACGGGAGGCAGCA
rnacentral:rRNA from 1 species